AAGAAUCGGGGUUGAACUGGAAGACUAUAAUGUCAGCGUCCCCAUCCUGGGCUUUAAGAAAUUUAUGUUGACUCAUCUGGUGAACAUAGAUCAAGACACUUACAGGAAUCCUCAACAGAUGCCACUGUAAGUGGGGAGAGAAGCUGCUCAGGCUAUGGUUCACACGUCCGACUCAUGACCUGGGGGAGCUCAGUUCUCGUCUGGACGUCAUUCAGUUUUUUCUGCUGCCCCAGAAUCUGGACAUGGCUCAGAUGCUGCAUCGGCUCCUGGGUCACAUCAAGAACGUGCCUCUGAUUCUGAAACGCAUGAAGUUGUCCCACACCAAGGUCAGCGACUGGCAGGUUCUCUACAAGGUAAGGCCUUCCUUCUUGAAUCCCAAAAGUCCAGGUAAAGGCCCUCAGCCUGUAUUCCAGACUGUCUGUACCCUAGACAUGCUGUCCAAUUUUAUUCUACCCUCUUUUUUUUUUUUUUGGAGACAGCCUCGCUCUGUCGCCCAGGCUGAAGUGCCAUGGGGCGAUCUUGGCUCACUGCAACCUCCGCCUCCUGGGUUCAAGCAAUUCUGCCUCAGCCUCCCGAGAAGUUGGGAUUACAAGCGCCCGCCACCAUGCCUGGCAAAUUUUUGUAUUUUUAGUAGAGACAGGAUUUCACCAUGUUGGCCAGGCUGGUCUUGAACUCCUGACUUCAGGUGAUCCACCUGCCUCAGCCUCCCAAGGUGCUGGGAUUACAGGUGUGAACCACCAGGCCCGGCCUCCCUCUUUUUUUUU
rnacentral:lncRNA from 1 species